GGAGGAGCGCGGGGCGGGCGGGCGGCGGCGGCGGGCACCGGCGGGGCGGCGGCGGGCACCGGAGGCCUCCUCCCUUCUCGUGCACGGGGCUCGGCGGAGCUCCUGGGAGGGCGAGGGGGUGGAGAGGGCAGCCCGGGCGAGCCUCCCAAAUUCGCCCGGCCGGCUGGCGGCUGGAGCUGCCCGGCGCAGGGGUGGGGACCGGCCGCUUCCUUAAACGUGCGCGGCGGGGGGCGGCGGGGCCCGCACCGCCCCCGGGAGCCGGCCCGAGCCUCCCGGGCCGCGGCCGCAACACGUGGAGCAAACUUUCGAGGGACGGGCACCCGGCUGCAGCCGGCCACCGGGCACCGCAGCGCCGGGACCGCGCCGCAUGGAGCAGCUCGCCUCUUGCUGGAACAUUCCCACUGCUUUUCUUAAAGCUGAAUUCUUUGUAAAGGAGAAGUGACUAGAAACCCCAAACUGGGUCCCAGGUCUUGCUUAACUUUGUAAGGCACACUGACAUACUGACGCUGCUCCAGUUAAGGUAUGGUAUGGAUCAGAAACUCUAACAGCCGCUGUGGAAUGAGUGUGUUCACAUGAAGUCAUCCUGCAGUGACUAUUGCAGAAUAGUCAACUCCUCUUUGUAAGCAAGCCCCAAAAGAGAAUUCUUGUCCCAGUGACUGUGUGACUAGAUAAGAGAUAAUGGGCACAAGAAAGGCACCCUGCUAUCAGCUAAGGAUGGGCGCUGUUUGGCUGCGAACAACAACGAAAUUUGUGCUGCUCAAGGCCAUGCAGGACUGUCUCGGGGGUGUCCUUCCUUGCGGGCUGAUUCCAGGAAUGUGGCACUUUUGGAAUGGUUUGUUUUGGGACUUUCCGCUUUGACACCUGUGAUUGCUGAGACUGGCCUAUCAUAGGAAAGCCCAAACCCUCUGCUCCUCUCCAUGGGCAUUUCCUCUCUUAGCAACUCCAGUGUCUUCACCUGAUACUGAAAGAAGAUGGAAGAAAUUGAAUGUUUCCCUUGGCAAGAUGUGUGGAUGGAAUUGAUCUGUUUUCAAUCUGAUAUCUACCAAACCAACUAAGUACAAUCACCUCAGCUGCUAACACGUUGGAGAACAACAAUUUACUUGUUGUACUGAAAGCAGGAAGAUCUGGAAUGGGGUUUUGUAACUUUUUUGAUAUGACUCUGUGUUACAAUUUUUAUAUUUAUUAUCUGCAUCUUACUCAAAAUAAGAAUGUUUAUGUUAAAAUAAACAUUUUUACUCUGAAAUACUGGAAUGAGCCUGCCCAGCUUCUUCCUAUCUCAGCUCAGCCCCUUUGAAGAGAAUCAACUCAUGGAUUUUAAAGUCAGAAGGACCAGUCUGAACCUCAGAGGAUGCGCACAGAGCAAUCGCUGCAAUUCAUUCUGAAAUCAGUGCCCUGAUGAAUGGAUCUUUUUCUUAUGUGCUAUGGGAACUCUGCCUAUAUAAAUGUCUGAUAAACUGUUCCAAUGUUUUAUAACCUUGUCUUGUACCUUAUGGCAGCCCAGAAUUUCCCACUUAUGCCUCUUGUACAGCCACAGUGGAAGAAACCCUUCAUGUAUGUGACUGCGUAUGUUGAAUAGGAGAACAAGAAGGUUUGGUGUUAACUUUUAUACCAUCUGUUCUCAAAACAGCUCUAUUACAGCUGUCUUUCAGAGUGGAGAGCAGGCACAGCAGAAGUCCAUAGGGACACUUGGCUAGGGACUGAUAGGCAGGAGGGAUCCAGCCUGGCUGACCCCCCCCCCGUUACACCAUAGGGAACUCUCAGCAGCCAUGUGAGACCAUUUCUUAGUGUCCAGGCUAAGACACUAAGAUGUCAAGGACAAGAAAUCUGGCUGUUCUUUCCGAAAGUUCAGUGCCAUUUAGCACCUCUAAUCUGGCUUGGAAAAAUGCAUAAAUACCUACAAUAAAUACAUUUU